GUAGAAGAAGGGCCAGGUCGCGUGGGGAAUAGGUAUGGUCCAAUGUUUGUCUGGAGUUAAUGGGCGUAAAGGUAGGGCGGACGGUUAGUUAAGUCGGAAGUGAAAGCCCUCAGCUCAACUGAGGAAUGUCUUUGGAAACUGGAUGACUGGAGGGCAGUAGAGGAAAGUGGAACUCCAUGUGUAGCGGUGAAAUGCGUAGAUAUAUGGAAGAACACCAGUGGCGAAGGCGGCUUUCUGGACUGUAACUGACGUUGAGGCUCGAAAGUGUGGGUAGCAAACAGGAUUAGAUACCCUUUAGUC
rnacentral:rRNA from 1 species